rnacentral:rRNA from 1 species
GUUUGAUCCUGGCUCAGAUUGAACGCUGGCGGCAUGCCUUACACAUGCAAGUCGAACGGCAGCGGGGACUUCGGUCCGCCGGCGAGUGGCGAACGGGUGAGUAAUGCAUCGGAACGUACCCGGAAGUGGGGGAUAACGUAGCGAAAGUUACGCUAAUACCGCAUAUUCUGUGAGCAGGAAAGAGGGGGAUCUUCGGACCUCUUGCUUUCGGAGCGGCCGAUGUCAGAUUAGCUAGUUGGUGAGGUAAAGGCUCACCAAGGCGACGAUCUGUAGCGGGUCUGAGAGGAUGAUCCGCCACACUGGAACUGAGACACGGUCCAGACUCCUACGGGAGGCAGCAGUGGGGAAUUUUGGACAAUGGGCGCAAGCCUGAUCCAGCCAUGCCGCGUGAGUGAAGAAGGCCUUCGGGUUGUAAAGCUCUUUCGGCCGGGAAGAAAUCGCAUGGAUUAAUACUCUGUGCGGAUGACGGUACCGGCAUAAGAAGCACCGGCUAACUACGUGCCAGCAGCCGCGGUAAUACGUAGGGUGCGAGCGUUAAUCGGAAUUACUGGGCGUAAAGCGUGCGCAGGCGGUUUUUUAAGACAGGCGUGAAAUCCCCGGGCUCAACCUGGGAACUGCGCUUGUGACUGGAAGACUAGAGUAUGGCAGAGGGGGGUGGAAUUCCACGUGUAGCAGUGAAAUGCGUAGAGAUGUGGAGGAACACCGAUGGCGAAGGCAGCCCCCUGGGCCAAUACUGACGCUCAUGCACGAAAGCGUGGGUAGCAAACAGGAUUAGAUACCCUGGUAGUCCACGCCCUAAACGAUGUCAACUAGGUGUUGGGAGGGUAAAACCUUUUAGUACCGUAGCUAACGCGUGAAGUUGACCGCCUGGGGAGUACGGCCGCAAGGUUAAAACUCAAAGGAAUUGACGGGGACCCGCACAAGCGGUGGAUGAUGUGGAUUAAUUCGAUGCAACGCGAAAAACCUUACCUACCCUUGACAUGUCCAGGAGCCCUUAAAAGAUUUGGGUGUGCCCGAAAGGGAACUGGAACACAGGUGCUGCAUGGCUGUCGUCAGCUCGUGGUCGUGAAAUGUUGGGUUAAGUCCCGCAACGAGCGCAACCCUUGGCGUUAAUUGCCAUCAUUUAAUUUGGGCACUUUACCGAGACUGCCGGUGACAACCCGAAGAAAGGUGGGGGAUAAAUUCAAGCCUCCAUGGCC